AGCAGCGUGAAGUCCUCACAGGGCAAUUCUACACUCACCACAGAGCACUGUCAGUGCUAACAUCAGCCAGAUCUGUCCAGCCAGCGUCUACCAGGGCAGGGACUCCUCCCGCAGACAGGCUGGGAGUCCCUGCUGCUCCUCUAGGGUCCUUCACCUCUGCUACUCAACAGCAGGGGGAGCAUUUACCAGAAUGUUCCAGGAAGUAUAGACCUUGAUCCAGGGGACUUGGAUACCUGGGAGGAACCUGGGUUGCCAGCAUAGAAGCAAAAACGAGGCUGAUGAUAGGACUUGGGGCAGUGGAAGCCAGGCCAAAGCGCGCCACAGACGAGGAGAUGUCAAUCGAGUGAGAGCACGCACAGAUUGUCAUUUUAACUUUUUAUUUGGAGACGAUUGGGAUUCACAUGCCAUCAUGAGAAGGAAUUCAGGGUGGUCCCCAGUAUUGCCCAGCCACCCCCAUGGUAACCCUUGUCAACAACAAGCUCAAGUCCCAGAAGACACAGGUGGCCUGUCUUCACGCUGAGACCAAAGGAGAGAUUUUAUUUGGCAAGAGUCUUCAGACAUCAGCUUUUCUCACCGGAAGGAGGACAGGACACAGCAACAGACCAGGGCGCCCCGAUCCCAUCAUAAUGAUCCCCAACGGAAGAGCUGGUGACAGCUCACACGCUGGCCCAGAGAUGGAUGCUCCGCAUGAAGAUCCUCAGGUCUCCGUUUUCUUCAAUGCGCGUCACGUUGUCCGAGGCCAUAGAAACAGAGUACCAGUUCCCGGAAAUCUGGAAGGAAAGGCUGAGUUGUGGGAGUCCUGGAAUAGCACUGGGGCUGCUUGGCCCUCACGGCCACACUCCUGGGUGAGUCCCUGAACACUGACUCCAUGCUGGGACCCCCUUUUGCCUUUCCAGCCCUCCCUCUGCCUCAUUCCUCCCAGGGCUCCUCUGCAUCCUCUGGCUGCCAUCAUGGCUGGGGCUGGGAGGGUCUCUCACGGCCCAGACACCCUUUUUCCAGGUCAAGUGUCCCACAGGAGAGGACAGGUGUUCUUCACGAAGCCUAGCCCAGCCCUAGAAGGCUUGGCCCACCCUGGCCAUGUUGAAGUUCCUCUGCACGACCACUUCCUGGUUGAACUGUGCAGCGGCAAGGCUCAGCACCAGGCCCAGCACUGGCAGUACUACCAUGCUCUCCGGUGGACACCUUGGCCUGAGUCUUAUUCCCUUAUGCCCAUUUCUAUUCUAUGGUUGACAGCCUCUGUGGACAGCCUGUCCACACACAUCCUGUGUCCUGUUGGAAGGUGGCCAAAGGCCUCCACUUAACUGUUCACAUCCAAGAGCUGGUUGCAGAACCUGAGUUGAUGUGUAACUGGGUCAGAAAGCGGCAGGGGAAGUUGGGACCAACAGCGUUUGUCCAUCAGGUCCCUGGACCCAGGCCAGCCCUUGCUCUGUCUCUCCACGCUGGGGAGGAAGAACUCAGAGCCUAGGUAUUCGAGUUCCAUUUUCACACCCUGUCUGGCCUCAGUGUUCAUGUGCGAGGGAGUCUGGCUUCUUACAAGCCAUCUGCAUGGCAUGUAGUACAGGUCUGCAGCAGAGCCAGCUACCCCACCCAGUGGAUGUCACUGAAUGUAGGGUGUGACUCCGAAACUCCAGGAAAAGACCCGAGUGAGGCAGUGCUCACGAAGUCAGCCCCUGCGUGAGAGCUGAGGGGUCCUGAGACAGAACAAUGUUCUGGAAGCACACAGAUACAGGGUCAGAUGUGUCCCCAUCCUGGCUGGAGACUGGUCGUGGGAGGCGGCAGCGAGACGUGUCCUGGAAAUGUCUGCACAGCUCUACAGGUGUGUUCCAGGACUCUGGCUCCCACUGCCUCCGGGAACAGGUGCGUUGGUGGCAGUGGAGGGGAGGCAUUAUUCCUUUGAAGAAAUAAGGCUAAGCUUGGCAGCCAGGGCCGGAAGAUCUCAGCCUCCGGGUAAUGCAGACACCCACUGGCUGCCAUUUCCCUACUUAGGUAGUUCUACCAUUAUCUGCCCUGGGCUGAUGUGGUUCUGAGGUAGAGGAAGGGGGCCCAGAUGUCCCUGGGCACCUGGCAGGUGUCGAGCAUUACCAACCGCCGCUGAAACCACGUACAGUUAAUGUCAAUGAUGAGUUCUCUGGCUUCCAAGCACCCUUUCUGUUGAUCAUUUUCCCAUCAGUAGGGAUGGGGCAGUAUGACUCCAGUGCUGUCGACUCUCCCUUACUCCCCCAGCUGUUUUGAGCAAAAGAGCUGUCAGUCCAAUAAAUACAUACAUAUAUACAUAUACAUACAUACAUAUAUACAUACAUACAUACACACAUACAUAUAUACAUACAUACAUACAUACACACAUACAUAUAUACAUACAUAUAUACACACAUACAUAUAUACAUACAUACACACAUACAUAUAUACAUACAUACAUAUUCCACACUGUUGAGCCCUUUCUUGCUCUAGCUCCUGAGCUUCAGCCUAAUUCAGGACUGUCCUACACUAUUUGUCCUGGGCUUUUUCCUGUCCCCAGGCUUGAGGAACUCCAGGUGACUCCAUGAUUUUUUCUACUCAGGCCAGGGGUGGCCCACAUGCUCUGGUGGCCUAGCAGAGGACCUGCUGUGAGCGGUAGAAAGAGCAACGCUGUGAUUGGUGAAAACGCAAACCUUAUUUGUACAAGUUUGCUAUGACUGGAAUGAAACGCCCCAAAAUCUGGUUUGAUGAGCUGUCUGACUCACAGCCUCCUUUUCUGCCUGCCCUGGUACUGCAGCAUUGGGUCCAAUAAAACCCUUCCUUGAGUGUGA